rnacentral:rRNA from 2 species
UUGACCUCAAAUCAGGUAGGACUACCCGCUGAACUUAAGCAUAUCAAUAAGCGGAGGAAAAGAAACUAACAAGGAUUCCCCUAGUAACUGCGAGUGAAGAGGGAAGAGCUCAAAUUUUGAAUCUGGCGGUGUUUGGCCGUCCGAGUUGUAAUCUAGAGAAGCGUCUUCCG